rnacentral:rRNA from 1 species
GGCCCCGCACAAGCGGUGGAGCAUGUGGUUUAAUUCGAUGAUACGCGAGGAACCUUACCAGGGCUUAAAUGUAGUGGGACAGGUCUAGAGAUAGACCCUUCUUCGGACUCAUUACAAGGUGCUGCAUGGUUGUCGUCAGCUCGUGCCGUGAGGUGUCAGGUUAAGUCCUAUAACGAGCGCAACCCCUAUCGUUAGUUGCCAGCGAGUAAUGUCGGGAACUCUAACGAAACUGCCAGUGCAAACUGUGAGGAAGGUGGGGAUGACGUCAAAUCAUCACGGCCCUUACGUCCUGGCUACACACGUGCUACAAUGGCCGGUACAGAGAGCAGCAAACUCGCGAGAGCUAGCA